GCCUGGCUGGCUCAGUCAGAAGAGCAUGGGACUCUUGAUCUCGGGGUUGUGAGUUCGAGUCCCACAUUGGGUG
rnacentral:tRNA from 1 species